ACCUUGGAAACCUGGGGAGGCAUUCUCGGGAGGCUUUCCCUUAGCACCACCCUUAAUCUGCUCUGGCAGCCUCAGAGGCGGAGCACCCCGGACUCCUACAUAGCAGCGGUGACCCGGGGUCAUUUUGACGAUGGAGGGCCCUCUUCAAGAUGGGGUGGCUGCGGGAUGCACCCUCCGGGACCAGAAAAUCCAAGGCAGACGUUGUGUUUCUUUUGGGGGACACACUGGAUGCAUGGGUUACAAAAGUCGAUCAUAUGACAACUACUUCAGCUGGAAACGUUGCCCGGAGAAGAUCUCAUCACGUUUGCCAAGAAGCAAGUGAUGCUACUACAGAAAGUAAAACAAGGUGCACAGGAAACAGAAGAAAGGAAGCCUGGAACUCUAAGGAAAUGCAUCAUCAGCUUUAUCACCACGCCUCGCCUCCCCCAGCCUUGUCCUGUUGCUUCAGGAUCAGCAGCAGAAUAUCUGAAUACUCUGGAGAUUGCUAGAUGAAAAUGUAAGGAGUGAAUUUCAAACUAUAAUUACAGAGAAGGACCUUCUGAACAAGAAUGCAGUCGCUUGGGAAAUAAACAAGAUUUGAUGCAUAAGCCAACAUAACACUUAGAAGCUUCUGCACAGGCUUCCUGGUUCCAGCUAAUGCAUCAAAUACAAUAAUGAAAAGGACUGGGCAUAGUGGACAGCACUGAUUAUUUUCAGAUUUGAUUGGGAUUGAUUCAAGUUCUUCUCCACUGAACCUGACACGGCCUGUGGGUUUGUCGUAGAAACCUCCAUUCUAUUGAGGUACCAUAGGACUUUUAUCAAAAAAGCAUGUUGGAUUUUAUCAAAGGCUUUUUCUACAUCUUUUAAGAUCAUCAUGUGAUCUUUGCCUUGAGUUCAUUUAUGUUAUUUCUCAGAAUUGAAAAUAAUCUUUCAAACACAAAAUUUUCUUAUCUAGACUAUAGAGUAAAUUUACCUGGCCUUGAUAAAAACCCUGAAUCUGGAGCUGCUCAUAUGAAGAAAUGAAACAAUGAAAUGGAGUAGUAUAAAAGUAUCAAAUUGGGAGGUCAAAUUUUUUUGUAUUCACAACUGCAGAAGGCAUAGUUCAUAUGACAGGAUAAUGUGGAUAAAAUAAUAUUUGGAUGUUUACCUCCACUUGAAACUUUCUGUCUGCAUAACGUCUGGCUGUGGGUCUCUGCACCUGCUCCCAUGUGCUGCCAGAGGAAGCCUCUCUGAUGAUGACUGGACAAAGCACUGAUCUGUGAGUAUUGCAGAAUAUCAUUAGGAAUCAUUUCAUUGUUUUUUGUUGGUUUGUUUUUUGCCUGUAGUGUUUGAUUCGACCCUAGGUCUCUGGACUAUCCAGUCUCCAGUUCCUGGCCAUCCAGAUAGUAUAGGGCACCCACUCCCUCUCAUGGACUGGGCCUCAAGUUAAACCAAAUAUUGGUUGGCCACUGCCACAAGUUCUGUACCACCAUUGCCCCAGCACAUCUUGCAGGCAGGACAGAUUGUAGGUCGAGGGUUUUGUGGAUGGGUUGAAGUCCAGGUUUCUCUUUCUGUAGCCUGCAGAGUACCUUCUCAUGCCAAAGAGACUAGUGGAGACUCCAUGCGGGUACCAGCUCAACCUCUGUGCAUUCAGUGAGCUGUGUGGAUGUUGUCUUCGGCAACAGGGUCCUGCUGUCCAUUUUCCUGUAGAGACCCUCUGUCCUCACAUCAGCUUGGCCCCACCACCACCCACCCAGGCCAACAAUUCAACCGAAUGCAAACCAGCCCCACCUCUGGAAGCAUGGCUACAAAAGAUGUCCAUGUCCUCCAUUACUAGGAGCCCUCACUAGGAUCACCCUCAUAAAUUCCAGGAAGUUCGCACUGCCCUAGAUUUCCAAAUGCCCUCAAUUCCAUCUGUCUCUCCCUGCAUUCUUUCCUUCCACCUCCCUCCAAACCGAUCCCGUCUACUACUGUCUUCACAUGCCUCAAGACCACCUGCAAAAUCUAUUCUGUUUCUGUUCCCAGGGAGAUCCAUGCUUCCUCCCUAGAGCCUGGCUCUUUAUCUAACCUCUCUGGGCUUGUGUAUUGUAGCUUGAUUAUCAUUUACUUGAAUCCAUACCAGGUUUGGCUUUCUGGGUCUGGGUUACCUAACUCAGAAUGAUUUUUUUUGAGUACAUCCAUAUGAUAUUUUCUUGUAUUCACACAUAUAUAUUUCACAAAGAAAAUAAUACUAUAUUUGUGUUUUUGUUUUCCAAUCACCCAAAGUAUCUAUUUUGUCUUAUCACUUGUGUAUGCAAUUGAAUGUGCUAGAUUCAUUUUGAUAUCUUUGUAAUACUAUUUAAAAUCAUAUGUUAUAGCACUUCCUACAUUAUACUGUCUAAGUAAGAUUUGUUUGUCUUUUUGACAAGUAUCCAUUUGACUAUAUCCUGUCAUUUGUGACUAUAAAAAAAAUGGAGGGGUUCAUUUUAUAUAUAGAUAUAUUCAUUAUAUAUACAUGCACACACACAUACACACACAUAUAUGUAAUUUGUAGGAAUACUAUCAAAUCUCAGUAUUACUUUUGGAUAUAGAGUCAUUUUUACAAUGUUAACACUAUUAAUCUUGUAACACAGGAGUUAUUUCUAUAUUUUAGCAUCUUAUUCCAUUUCUUUCUAUGUUAAAGUUAAGUGAACUUUUAGAGGUUUUAACCACCUGGAUUCCAUUAUUUAUAUUUCCUAUGUAUUUUAGAAGCAAAUAAAAUGGUAUUAUUUUGCUGAAUUUCUUCCAUCACAACUUUCAUCUGGACAUAGAAAAGUUCUUUUAUGCAGAGUAUUGGAAAGGAAUGGGAGAUAGUGGAAACCUCUGUCCUGUUCAUAAUUUUAAUGGAUCUCUUAGAAUUUCUCUCCAUGGAGGAUGCUGCUGCUUGUGUGUUUGUAACAUACAGCCUUUAUCAUGGUGAGUUAUAUUAUCUCCAGUAGUGUACUUUCCAAGACUUUUGUCAUGAACGAAUGUCGGAUAAAUGUCAAAGGCCUUUUUUUAACAACCAUUAAAAUGAUCAUGUGACUUUUCUCUCCCUGUACAUGUGUAUAGUUCAUUACAUCUGUUGAAUUACAUAUAUUGAGUAACCCCUGAAUCUCUGGGAUAAAGCCAAUUUGAUUCUGAUGGAUGAUGUAUCUCUUCAAUAUCUGUUUAUCAGAGAAGACAUUUAUUUUGCCUUCUUUUUUUAAAAAAAAAUGAGAUUUUAUUUAAAAUGUAAUCACAUCCCUUACCCCUUUUCCUUUCCACUCACAAUUAAAUUCUAUACCCCCAUCUCUCUUAUCAAUAACCUCUUUUUCUUUUAUUAUUACUGUGACAUGUACAUUGAGAAAGAGAAAAGAGUGAAAUUUGUACAAAUGUAAAUAAACCUGCUGAGUCAGUUUUUGUUGUGUAUGAGUAUAUGACAAGAUAAUUUAUACUGGAUAACCUUUUAGGAGGCUUAUCCCUGCAAGAGGCUAAUUCUCUCAGCAGUUUUUUGUCUAGGACAAUGGUUCUCAACCUUCCUAAUGCCACGGCCCUUUAAUACAGUACCUCACGUUGUGGUGACCCACAACCAUAAAAUUAUUUUCAUUGUUACUCCAUGAAUGACUGUAAUUUUGGUACUGUUAUGAAUCAUAAUGUAAAUAUCUGAUAUGUAUGAUAUCUAUUAUGAGACCCCUGUGAAAGGAGCAUUUGACCCCUCCAAAGGGUUACAACCCACAGGUUGAGAACCUCAGGUCUAGGGGUUACAGAUGUAAGACUUUCCCUUUGCUUUGGCAUAUCUAUUGAUAUUGCAAUUGUUAAGAUCUUAUUUAACAUAUAUUUCUAGGAGAAACAGUGUGAGAGCAGACUUACUGGUCCUCUGGCUCUUACUAUCUUUCUGCUCCUUUGGCAAUUUUUUUCCAGAGAUUUAGGUGCCAGAGUUAUAUUGCAGGUGUAUUCCAUGUGGAUGCACAAGCCAACAUCUUCACAGGCAUGACCACUGGAUAAGACUAAUUAAUGACUGUUUCUCCAACUUGUCAGCUUGCAUAGUUUUUUUAUGGUACUAUGGCAGCUAGAUGAUAUUUCUGCUAUGUUCCUGUGUUUUUUUUGCUAGUAUUUUAUUUAGAAUUUUUGCAUCUAUGCUUCUCAAUAAUAUCAGCCUAUAGCAUUCUCUUUUUGUAUUUGUCUUUACCUGGUUUGGGCAUUCAGAUUAAUCCUAGCUUUGGAGAAUGCAUAGGGAAGUGCACCUCCCUAUGCAUUUAUUUAUAUAUAUAUAUAUAUUUAUUAUAUAUCUAAUAAAAAUUUAUUCUAUUUUUAUUAGAAUAAAUUAAGAAGUAUUUGUUGUAGUGCUCUAAAAGUCUGGUAGAAUUCUCUUGUGAAUCCUAGAUGGAUAUCUUGUACUGAACAUCUUGUACUCUGGAAAGUUUUCAGUAUCAUUUCAAAAUCUUUGUUUGUAUUGGGCCUGUUUAACUUACUGAUCUCUUCUUGACUUAGUAUUAGUUAUGGGUGAAGUUAGGAAUUUUCAUUUGCUUUACAUUUCCUAACUUAAUGAUACAAUAGUAUAUGAUUCUUAAGUAUUUCCUUAUAAUGCUCCAAUUUUCUUUAACAUCUGUUGUAAUAUUUCCCUGUUCACCUCUGACUUGGUUAAUUUGUCUUCCUUUCUUUCUUUCUGGCUUAAUGUGCUAAAGUGUGUGUCAACUUGGUUUAUCCUUUCAAAGAACAAACUCACAGCUUUGUUGGUAUUCACAUCCUGCAAGACAGAGAGGUUUAGGAAAGUACUUUCUGAUUAACACUACGUUAACUCAGGAAUUACAUUCACCAGUUGAGAACUGGAACUUCAUAAAACUAAAAUGCUCUGGAUAAUAGGAUUAACAAGUCUAGUGAAGGAGAAUCACACGGAAUGGGAGACAGUGUUGGUCAGGUUUAUAUCUGAUAGAGGACUUAUUUUCUGAAUAUAUAAAGAACUCAAAAAUCAGAGUUAAGAGAAAAAUAAUUAAAUGCUCUACAGAGCUGAACAGAGAGCACACCAAAGAAUAGCUAUAAAUAGCAUAACAAGUGUUCAACAACCUGAGCAAUUAGAGAAAUGCAAUUUAAAACAACUCUGAGAUUUCAUUUUUCAUUAAUUAGAAUGAAGAAGAUUGGGAAAAUAUGUAGCAAUAAAAGCUGGUAAAGAGGGGGAGAAUGAAGAAUUCUUUUUUUUUUUUUUUUUUUUUUUUUUUUUUGGUUUUUCGAGACAGGGUUUCUCUGUGUAGCUUUGCGCCUUUCCUGGUACUCGCUUUGGAGACCAGGCUGGCCUCGAACUCACAGAGAUCCGCCUGCCUCUGCCUCCCGAGUGCUGGGAUUAAAGGCGUGCGCCACCACCGCCCGGCAAAGAAUUCUUAAUCACUGUUGGUGAUUAUAAAAUGAUACAGCCACUAUAGAAAUCAGUGUGAAGUAUUCUAGAGAGUGUGAUAAUAGUAGUUCUCUGAUAUGAAAGGGGUAGCAGGAAUAAUGGAUAAUAAAGGAAUAAUAAAGAAAUGAACUGAUCAAUUCCCAGCACCCACAUGGUGGCUCACUACCAUCUGUAAUGAGAUCUGGCUCCCUCUUCUGGCCUGUGGGGAUACAUGAAAACAGAAUAUUGUAUACAUAAUAAAUAAAUAAAUCUUUAAAAAAAAAAAAGAAAAAGAAAUGAACUGAGAAGGGGAUAGGAAGGAUAAUUCAAGAGGUUAGUGAAGGAGUGAUAAAUAACAUGAUGAAUGUUUGAAAAGCCAAGUGAAAAAUAUUAUUAUAUAGUAUUAUGAUAAAUUAAUGUUUGAAGUUAUUUUAAAAUGUCUGUAGAGAAUGUACUUAUAAUUUAUAUUUGUAUUUGUAUGAAUCUAAGUUACGUUCUUAUUUUUAUGAUAAGACACCAAGACCAAGGCAACAUGUAGAAGACAGAGUAUUUUGUGGGGCUUACAGUUUCAGAGAGUGAGUCCAUUACCAUCAUAUCAGGGAGCAUGGCAGCAGGCAGGCAGGCAUGGCACUGGAGCAGCGGCUGAGAGCUUCACCCAAUCUGUGAAGAACUGUCUUGGAAUUUUGAUGCUUUGGACUGAAUCUGUAGACUGUUUUUGGUCAUUUUCACAAUAUUGAUUGUACCAAAACAUGAGCAUGGAAGAGCUUCCAAUCUUCUGUAGUCUUCUUCAAUUUCUAUCUACAGUAUCUUAAAGUUUUAUUAUACAACUCUUUCACUUGCUCGGUUAGACUUAUCCCAAGAUUUUUAUGUGGAUAUUGUAAAAAGGACUGUUCCUCUGAUUUUUUCCUCAGUGUUUUGUCAUUUGUUUAUAGGAAGGUUACUGAUUUUGUGUUAAUAUUGUAUCUUAUUAAUUUACUGAUAGUGUUUACCAGCUGGAGAAGUUUCCUGGUGGAGUCUUUAGGGUCUUGUACACAUAAAAUCAUAUCAUUGUCAAAUAAAGAUACUUUUACUUCUUC